UACAGAGGGGGCAAGCGUUGUUCGGAAUUACUGGGCGUAAAGGGCGCGUAGGCGGCCUGCUAAGUCGGACGUGAAAUCCCCGGGCUCAACCCGGGAACUGCGUCCGAUACUGGAUGGCUUGAAUCCGGGAGAGGGAUGUGGAAUUCCAGGUGUAGCGGUGAAAUGCGUAGAUAUCUGGAGGAACACCGGUGGCGAAGGCGGCAUCCUGGACCGGUAUUGACGCUGAGGCGCGAAAGCCAGGGGAGCAAACGGG
rnacentral:rRNA from 1 species